GACGAACGCUGGCGGCAGGCCUAACACAUGCAAGUCGAACGAAUGGCGGACGGGUGGGUAAGGUCUUGACACGUGCGCGAUCGAGCGGGAUAACUGGUGGAACCGUUAGCUAAUAGCGCAUACGAUCGGAUGUGCCCAGGUGGGAUUAGGUAGUCGGUGGGGUAACGGCUCACCAAGGCGACGAUCCAUAGCUGGUCUGAGAGGAUGACAGGCCACACUGGGACUGAGACACGGCACAGACUCCUACGGGAGGCAGCAGUAGGGAAUCUUGCACAAUGGGCGAAAGCCUGACGCAGCCAUGCCGCGUGUAUGAAGAAGGCUUUCGGGUCGUAAAGCACUUUUAUUGGGGAGGCGGUACUUGCAGAAGAAGCAACGGCUAACUCCGUGCCAGCAGCCGCGGUAAUAC
rnacentral:rRNA from 1 species